rnacentral:tRNA from 1 species
GCCUUCGUGGUGUAGUGGUCAGCACACUCAACGCAAAUUCGAGAGGUUUGUGGUUCGAGUCCUGGCAAGGGCA